GACGAACGCUGGCGGCGUGCUUAACACAUGCAAGUCGAACGAAGUGGCGAACGGGUGAGUAACGCGUAAUCAACCUGCCCUUCAGAGGGGGACAACAGUUGGAAACGACUGCUAAUACCGCAUACUUAAGGAGGGGAUUGCGUGUGAUUGGCUAGUUGGCGGGGUAACGGCCCAACAAGGCGAUGACCAGAAGGCGGACUGGGAGGAGGAACGGCCAAAUUGGGACUGAGACACGGCCCAGACUCCUACGGGAGGCAGCAGUGGGGAAUCUUCCGCAAUGGACGAAAGUCUGACGGAGCAACGCCGCGGGAGUGAUGACGGCCUUCGGGUUGUAAAGCUCUGUUAAUCGGGACGCGGUACCGGAAUAGAAAGCCACGGCUAACUACGUGCCAGCAGCCGCGGUAAUUC
rnacentral:rRNA from 1 species